AUUGAACGCUGGCGGCAUGCCUUACACAUGCAAGUCGAACGGCAGCACGGGAGCAAUCCUGGUGGCGAGUGGCGAACGGGUGAGUAAUAUAUCGGAACGUGCCCAGUCGUGGGGAUAACGUAGCGAAAGCUACGCUAAUACCGCAUACGAUCUAUGGAUGAAAGCGGGGGAUCGCAAGACCUCGCGCGAUUGGAGCGGCCGAUAUCAGAUUAGGUAGUUGGUGAGGUAAAGGCUCACCAAGCCGACGAUCUGUAGCUGGUCUGAGAGGACGACCAGCCACACUGGGACUGAGACACGGCCCAGACUCCUACGGGAGGCAGCAGUGGGGAAUUUUGGGACAAUGGGCGCAAGCCUGAUCCAGCAAUGCCGCGUGCAGGAUGAAGGCCUU
rnacentral:rRNA from 1 species